ACCGGAAGUGUGUUUGUUUGGUUUACCGAAAUUGACAUGUCUGACAUUCCAAAAUUGCGAUUUUCGUUCUCUGAUAUGGAGUGUUAGCGUGAAAACAUGGAUUGUGGUCAAUCAUGUGUAAUGUUUGAUCCAGAUCACCUCAUAGCUGUUGUGGAAUGGAUGGAGAUAAUAGAUUGACCUCUAUCACAUGUAUACACAGGGAGGUUUUCUCUACAAUGUGUUUCCUUGGUGGUAGAGAGAGGUAGUAUCAGGGAUGAUUUUUUGUUUUGAUUACAAAAACACUUACGCAAUCUAAACAUGGCUGAUUGUGAUGACAAUAGUGUUGAAAAUGUGAUGAACACUUUGGAGUCAUUUCACAUCAGUGACCAACACCAGCAGGUCAGCGGUGACCAAGAAAAACAGGGCAAUGUAUUCAGUAAAACCACAGGGGCAAGCAGAUCAGGUGCUGCCCAGGGACAUGUGCAAUCAGACUCUGAGACUGUUGGUGUGGAGAUUUCUAGAGAGGAGAGACGUCGACAAAGAAGACAGGAAAGAGCCAGAUCCAGAGAGUCGUCCAUGGAACGUACAAAUGGUGAGGAUGCAAGUUCAAAGGACACGGAAACAGGUGGUCAAAAAUCAAGACGAAGAAGAUUCAUCACAAGAGAUGUAGAUUCUAAUGAAGGAGAGAGCAAUAUUAAUGUCAGUACAGAAGUACUGUCCUCUGUUGUACCUGUACUGGAUUCCACGAAACUUCCUCGGAGUCGACAGAUCAGGAAACAGGUAGAUAAUGAGGGAACAGUGUCCCCACCAGUGACAUUACCUGUCAAAAUAGUUGACGAAGCACCUAAGUCCGAGGCAACAUCCUCAUCACUAAGUAAAGCUGAGGACCUACAGAGACGACGACAAAGAAGGCGAGAACUUAGUGCUGAACGAAGAGCUAGGGUGGGAACAGCUCCUCUUGUCUCUCCAGAACCAGAUAUAAUGCCAGAGGUCAAGGCCACAACUGUUCCAACUGGCAAUAAACUGGGUAACAAUUUAAACAAUGUGCAAAAUAAUACAUCUAAUUGUCUGCCAGCUGGUGGUUCUGGAGAUAAUAAUGUUGGUGAUAUUCAAGUUCCUGUGAUUAAAAAUGUUCAUUCUGAGGUAGUAACUGCCCAGUCAGUGUCAUCAGGCUACCAGAGUAAUGAUGAGUCGUCUGGACAGACAAAAUAUAAACUGAUAAGGACACCAAGAAAAGAUGGAAGAGAGAGGCGAUUAUCAGGGAGUGAUAGUGUUUCUAGUUCUCAAAGUUCAAUGCAUAAUCUACAUGUUCAGAAUUCAAAACAAUCUACUGAAUACAAUAUACCCUCAGAAUCAGAUCAGAAAAAUGCAAAGUUGAUAUUUCAGUCGAGUCAUGAUAUGAAUGGAGAAAAUCGCGUAGGAAAUAUGGCUGAGAAGCUGGUGGUGGACGCCAGCAAUGUGUCCACAGUUAGUUCUCCAACAAGUCCCACCUACAAACACAGUAUGCAGAAUCUUUCCCCUAAGCCAUAUAGUCCCCCUGGUAGACAUGAUGCUGAGGGAUCCUCACCAACAUUCUCACCUUGGCCAGCAAGCACUGCUAUAUCCCCCUACCCUGCCAGUCCUCGCCAAGAUACUCGGCCAGUCUCCCCAUCUGUCAAAUCUGAUGGGGAGGCCAGGCGUAGUCCUAGUCUAGGCCAGAUGGAAAGUAGGUCUCGGCAUGGGUCCGGAUCAACACCCAGUAAAUCUCAAAGUGCUGAGGAGAUGUCCAUCAGAAAGAAGGACCCAAUUUCUUCCACCAAAAGUAGCAAGUCUGUGGACUUUAAUGAACAGAAUGCAUUUAAAGGCUCCUCAUCUUUAAAACGGACAGCACUUGUUACAGAUUUGGACAAAGCCAUGCAGCAGAUGGACCAGGAGAGGCUCCAUAGACUGUUUAAGAAUGAUGGACAGUCGGAACAAACAGGUAAGGUUCAGACUGUUGGUGGAGGUAUGGCAGGGUCACAAGGGGAUGAUGGAGUGAUGGAGACAGAUUUAGAUGCAGAAACUGUGAGCCCUAGUAAAUACAGAACACCAACCAAAGCAACAGUACCUGUGUCAGGUAGUAUCAUGUCAAGUGGAAAAUUACUUACUUCACUGCGGGAUAAUUAUCAAAAACUACAGGAGAAAGUAGCUUCCCACCGACAAAGGACAGGCUCCGAUUCCUCUCUUUUGGAAAGACCAAAUAUGAAAAAGGUGAAGGAAAGGCAGAAAACUGUGGAUGAUUCCUACAGACCUCAAGUCAAUCUAGAUGAUGCUGUUAGAUGGCCUGAAUCUGUACCAGGCAAACUGGACUUCACACAUCUGGAUGUAUUUGAAGGGAAGAUGCUACUUCAGUUCCUGUGUUCAUCAAUAGAUGAGAAUCACUACUUACGCCUAAUUCUGACCUCUCAUGACCUCCAAGUGGUCAUCUCACAGGUGGUCACCUGUCUUAUAGCCGCUGGUAUCAUCAAGGAAUUGGAGGAGAGAGAGGGCCAGUUUGUCUUCAGGACGGACUGUAUGUACUAUUGGACCCACACGGAGAACCCUGUGGCCAAACAGAAUGCUGACAUUGGCAAGUUGACGCCCAUGUGGCCACCCAACCUGCCCGAUCAGGACAGUCAACAUGGACUCAAGUACACAGAAGCAGAUCACCAGGCAGCUAUGGUUACAUUACGACAUGAAUAUCAAGAGGAUUUGAAAAAACUUAAGGAAGAACAUCAGUUGGUACUUGACAAAUUCCGUGAGGAGCAUGAGAAAAGUGUCCAGGAAUAUGCUGAGCGUAUCGCAAACCUACAGAGAGAGGUGGAAAAAUACAAGGCCCUUGCAGGCAUUGAAGAGUAUACACAGGAGGCUCUGGCAGAAGCAGAGGCUGCUGGGAAGGAUCUAGUCAAUGGGCACGUUUAUGGACCAGAUGGGUCGAGAAUCAUUGCAGUCACUGCCACACCACAGUCCACUCCAUCCAACUCAGAAUAUCACACACCUGCUGUUACACCUGAGUGUGUGACGGGCAAGUACCCCAUCAACAUACUCCGCGAGAAUGGAGACAACAUGGGCACGCCGGUCGUGCCUCCAGAGCUCCGGCCAGAGCCCCCAGCACCCCCUCCUCCUCCACCACCACCACCACCUCCCCCGUUCAUGGGCGGGCCCCCACCACCCCCACCCCCUCCUCCUGCUCCAGGCAUGCUGGGACUUCCUAGCAGUAGAAGACCCUCAAAAUCUCCCAUCAAUCCAAAGUCACCCAUGAAACCAUUGUUUUGGCAGAGGAUACAGUUACAUGAUAUCAAGCAUUCAAAGAACAAAGAUAUAGCCAAUGCCCGCCUGGUCUGGGAGGAACUACACGAGGCCUGUGGGUUAAACUUUACAGAGGUAGACACGCUCUUCUCUAAACAGCAGCUUAACACCAACCACAGAUCCAAUCUUCAUCGUCGCAAAUCCCUACAACAACAGGCAGCCAAGGUGAUUGAGCCUAAGCGAGCACAGGUGGUGGGCAUCCUACUGUCCAGCCUGAGGAUGGAGAUGACUGAAAUAGAACAGGCAAUUUUAACGUUUGAUACCUCAGUGGUCAACGCAGAGAAGCUCAGGGCAAUAUACGAUAGUCGAGGUGAACCUGAUGAAAUAAAGAAACUGAAAAAACAUGUAGAAAAACAUCCAGAUGUACCUCUCGAUAAACCUGACCAGUUUCUGUAUGACUUAACAUUAAUACCGGACUUUGCAGAUAGAAUCCACUGUUUUAUUUUUCAACAAACAUUUCAAGAAAGCAUGUCUGUGAUAGAAAACAAAUUCAACAAUCUGAAGAUGACAGCUGAUUUGCUGAUGAGAGACGAAGGAAUAAAAAAUAUCUUGGGUCUAGUCUUGGCAAUCGGAAACUACAUGAACGGGGGGAACCGAUCGCGAGGUCAAGCUGAUGGUUUCAGUAUAGAGAUAUUGCCUAAUCUUAGGGAUGUUAAAACAAAGGACAAUCGGUCAAGUCUGCUGUGGUACAUUGUUACCCAGUAUGUGAAGAUAUAUGAGAGGGAUGUUACCAGCUCAGACCGUCUAACCGCCCCGAUCCCUGAUACUAGUGACCUGAAUCAGGCCAAACUGGUGGCUUUCGAUGAAAUCGAAAAGGAGAUGAAAAAAAUUAAGAAAGAUUUUGAUGCGGCAGAGAAAUGCGCAGAGAAGAUAAUUAAGUCCAAAGCUAGUCAAGAGUGUGUGCAGCCUUUCAAGGACAUAAUGACGGAAUUCUUUGAGAGAGGACGUCGUGAAUAUAAAGAUCAAGAAGACAAUUUGAAAGAAAGUCGUACAAAGUUCCAGGAAGUAGUCAUGUUUUUCUGUAUAAAACCAAAGAGUGGAGAAAAGGAAGUUACUCCAGAUUAUUUUUUCUCAUUGUGGCUGGUGUUCUGUAAAGAUUUCAAAGAUUUCUGGAAAAAAGAGCAGCAGCGAGUCAUAAAACAAAGGAUUAAGGAUGCCCAGACACGGGUAAGACAGUUACAGGAGGGGAAAAAGGUAGCAACCUCUGCACAAAUUAGGACUCGCUCCAAGAAACCAGGGGGACUGAAAGACCGACUUGCCAGUAAGGGGAUGCUCUAAGCUCAUUCACAUCUUACUGUGUAGAGUUAGAUUGGUGUACUGGAAAAAACAUCUACAGCAAUACUCUGAUGUAUAUACCUCCACAUGUGGUACCAAAGUGUGUGGUGCCACAAUAGCAAGUAGCAACUGGUUCUGCAAGAGGAAAACAAGUUACGCACUCAACUUUGGAUCCGAUUUAUGAUUGGAAUAAUGGGCAGCCAUCAUUGUGCCACGGUCAGGUGAAUUAGCCAGACCCUGGGGUCUUCCAGACAAUCCACAUUGUGCCAGUAAUUCAGUGUCGGUUUGGAUUUAUCCAUGUAUAGAUCAUUGUUCAUGAUUUUUUAUAUCAUUCCUGGAGUUGUGCUAAUUUCAGACUGAGAGUCAGAAGUUCAGAGUGGGGAUGAGGAGUCCCGACUGGGAUGAUUUGGGAAAGUUUUGUUUCCCUAGCUGAUUUUAACAUUUGCAUAAUGCUAACUUGAAUCCCACCAGAUAUCAAUUGUGUGUUAUGUGGUCAGUGUACAGGUACACUGGCUAUUGUCACAGGCCACAAGUUCCACUACUGAAACGCUAGUGUCCUUGCCAGAAUUGUCUUUCAAGGUUGUAUUAUAUAGGAUCAUGUGUUCAUGAAAAAGUCUCAAUGUCACCUGUCACCACUGCAGGUUGUGCUAUACAAAGUGAUGGUGAAGAGAGGGUAGUUUACAAGCAUGUAUCCUGGUUGUGAUUAUCAUAUAACAAACUUUAUUUUCCUUCUUUUUUUUUUAAUUAUUUCUUUUAAAUAAUUUUAUGGCUACAUCUUGUCAAAGACUGAUUGUUUUGUGAUGUAACAAAGAUAUUAUUAUUGAAACAUUAUAAAAUUGAAUUUAAGUAACUACAAGUAAAUCCUGGGUUAUCUUCCCUUGGUCUAGACUACAACAUGGGAAACCCUUGCCAGAAAGUGCUAAUAAGGCUAGUCAUGAUGAGCUGCUCCUGUGUUGUUUGUACUUUGUCCCCUCUGGUAGACCUAAAUCACCAAGUACAUUCAAAUAGGAUAUGAUGAAUGGGGACCCAGCAGGAAGGAGCCAGUAUAUACCAGUCGUGUAGGAAUGGUAUAGAAACCUCAGUGAUCGUACAUUGUGUAAUGGUUUGUUGGGGUAUGUGAGUCUGGAAUCCACUGACAUUCAACAGAUAUAUGUACACACUGGGUGUAAGAUAAGUCAGACAAUAUUCCAGAUCAGUGAUCACAUUAAUUUCUGAUACAUCACUUCUCAUGGAAGGUCAGAUUUGAUAAGAGUAUGAAAUGUAUCUGCAUUUACAGAAGAAAUCUCUUUAUCGUCUUGGUCGUGAAUACAGUAAUUUUACAAGAGUCUGAUGUAACCUUAAUGGAGUUUUGCUCUUUUACCCUAUACAUAGGUAUUUAGUAUCAACAUUGUACUUUUUGUAACAAAGGGUAGGAGUAUUAUAAUGUAUGGUCCUGCUAUUAGUACAUGGUGGUAAGGAUAAGUUAGUGUAGAGUCGACUAGAGGACGGUUAGAGGUUAUGAUAGACUUAGUUGAUAUCCUAUCUUCUCCUUACCCUGGUCAGAUACAGGUCAGUUUGUCAAUCUUUCCUAUUCAUUUUACCACAUCUUAAAAGAUCAUUUUGUCUUAAAGUUGUAAGGUCUUUUUUUAUUAAUCAGUUAAUGACAUACUAAUGCACCUGUUAACGAGCUGUAGAUCUACUAACUGCUGGUGACAUCUUGGUUCCUAAACAACAUCAUUUGUGUCAGAAGAAACUGGAAUACAAAUUGAAUCGCUAUGCAAAUCCUCUCACCAUGUGGAGUGUGUACAGACAGGUUCUGACUGAGGUCGCCAGUAAAUCAUGAUAAUCAUUACUUUAUAUGUCUUUAUAUCAGCUGAUCAAAACAGCUGAUUAAAACAGCUGAUCACAGCAAUGCUGCCAUGUUUCAUCUGUGCUGCUUAUAUUUGUUCACAUUCCGUGUUUAAUUUUUAUAUGCAAAAAUAAUUUUUACUGCAAUUUGUUGUUGAAAGUUUUACAUUGUAAUUUAUUUAUUUGUUUACCGAUCUUGCUGAAAUUUAUCAGCUUUUGUGAUGCAAACGCACACCAUUCCAUCCUAUAUUUAUAUCAUUAAUUGUUUCAUGUUCCUAUUGCAAUUUUCUUUAAUGUCCGAUGCUACAGUGUACUAGGUUUAUCUCUGAGCCUACAGUGUACCAGGUUUAUCUCUGAGGCUACAGUGUACCAGGUUUAUCUCCAAGGCUACAUUGUACCAUGUUUAUCUCUCAGCCUACAGUGUACUAGGUUUAUCUCUCAGCCUACAGUGUACCAGGUUUAUCUUGUAGGUUAAUACAUUGUAAUAGGUGGGUUUUUUCAUCUGGGAGCAUAAUAUAAUUGUUUUUGAUGAUUGGUUCAAAAUAUGUUCCAGGAGAUUCAAUAUACACAGACGUUUGAUGGUCACUGAUCAUCAAGUUACCCAAAGUUGAUGUUUUAUUCGGUUCUUCUGUACACAAAAGCAAAUUUAAUGAGGAACCACAAAUACAAGUAUUCCAUAAGAUUUCAUAAUUUCUAUCAGUUUUUGAACAGUUGUCUGCUUGAAAAUAAGAAUUCUUCAAAUGGUCGCAAUGAUUUUUAAUUUUUUUUUUUGUAUAACAAUGUUCCUUGUGAAGACAUAUUGUUUCGAGGCAUGAAACCUUUGUCAAAUGAUCAUGUCCCAGAUGUGUUUUGAUAAUAUCAAACCCCAAACAAGGACCUUGAGCUGUCAUGGAGAAUAUUUCUAGACCCAAAACUACAUAUUGCCACAUCUUUCUGUUCUAUCUCUGUGGAGGCAGACCCUCAAAUAAACUGGAUAUAAUCAAAAGUUUCACUUAAAAUCUUUUGGAAACUUUUCAAUAAAACUUUUAACUUAAAUGAUGGUAAGGAUGUAAAUCUGAGUGUAGAUUACAGGAAAUGGUUUACUAUGUGAAUGUUAUGUUGUCUAUUAUCUUAUAUUAACCAAUAUUUAUUAUUUUUAAUUUUUCAUCCGAUCAAUGUUUAUAAUUAUAGGAUUGAAUUGUCAUUUCAAUUCUGUCUUUAUGUUGCUGCAUUUGAUAGUAAUUUUUGUUUCAUUUUCAACUUCAACAUUUGUAGUUCAUACACAGCUGCCCUCCAAAAAACUUGACACAUUAUUUUGAGUUGUUGUUUUAUUGAUAAGCUCAAAAUAAACCUGAAUAUUUGUACUUCAGUAGUAACAGGAAUACAUGCAACAGUCUACUCCACCUCCUUGAGUGUACACAGAGGGCUGCAGACAUUUCAAAAAGACAUGUUUUUAUAAUUUGCACCAUAAGAUUACACUGGUAAAAUUAUCCCUCAAAAAUGUUUUCUUAAGAGUAUGUAAAAUAGCUUUCAUUUCAUAUAAAUUUGUGAAAAUGAUAUUGCCAAAACAUCACAUUUCAAGGAUUUUUAUUUUUCAAUAGUUCAUUUACACUGGAGAUAAUAAAAAGUUAUCAAAUUAAGAUGGCAGUAUUCCACUUUUAAACUAGUUCUACUGAAUUUGAAAUUCUUGUGUUCGAAAAAAUGUGAAUGGUUUAAUGGAGGGCAGUGUAUGUAAGUAGGAAGACUAGGUGAGAGGACUAGGAUUGGUGGUGUUUCUGGUGUUAUCCGUCCACAUUGUGUAUAUAAGGGAAGUGUACCCAGCUAUCACUUGUAAUAUCGGGUACAAUGUAGGUGUGAAAUGUUAAAUCUGAUAAUUAUAUAAGUUAUCAGUUUGAAAUUAACCAACAUAACAGACAAGGUUACAAUCAAAGUAAAUAAUAUUAUUCUGAAAGGGGUAAAAUGUAGCAUGCAUGUAUGUAAAAUUCCUGAAACAGGUGUUUUCCAGAAACAAUGUGCUAUACGAGUAAAACUAGAGAUUGAAAUAUUUUGAGGAUUUUCCUCUGUUUUAGUGUACAGAAAUGUGUUCACUCAAAAAGAAAAAAAAAAAGAAAAAUUUGUUUUUGUAUUGCAAUUUAUUUAAAUCUUGAUGUACAAAAAAGCAGCAAUUCUUUUGAUUGGACAGAAAAUAUAAAAAAAAUCAAAUCUUAACCUUGGUUUGAAAGUAAAACAAACUUGAAAAUAGAAGCUGAAAAUUAAACAUCAGACAGCAAAAGAUAAAAUUGGUUUUAUCAGACAGCAAUAUGUGAUGUGAUCAAACUUUUCCUGUCAAUAUUAGAGCUUGUGUUAGGUACACCCCUCACCAAAUACUCCUGGUAAACGAAAGUGAUAUUAUACAUUUAGGAGGUACAUACUGCUGUUGUGAGUCAGCCAGAUCUAUCAACUAAAAAGUAAAUUGUGUAUUAAAUUGUACGAGGUGAUUAUAAAGGAUGCUGGAGUGUGCCUUACUAGAUUCUUUAUGCCAUGUUUGCUGGACACAUUGCCAUAUGAUUGUAUUUAAACAGGUUGUCUGUGAUAUGUAUGUUUUAAUAAAUUGAUGUUUUAUGCAUUUCCAUGAACAAUGUAAA